UGUGGGAGCGGGCUUGCUCGCGAAAGCGGUGGGUCAGGCAAUUUCCAUGUUGACCAUGCCGCCGUCUUCGCGAGCAAGCCCGCUCCCACA
rnacentral:antisense_RNA from 1 species